GUCUACGCCCAUGCUACCCUGAACAAGCCCGAUCCCAUCGGAUCUUGGAAACUAAGCAGGGUUGGGCCUGGUUAGUACUUGGAUGAGAGACCACCUAAGACCAGGUGCUGUAGGCA
rnacentral:rRNA from 1 species